rnacentral:rRNA from 1 species
AUUGAACGCUGGCGGCAGGCCUAACACAUGCAAGUCGAGCGAGCGGCGGACGGGUGAGUAAUGUCUGGGAAACUGCCUGAUGGAGGGGGAUAACUACUGGAAACGGUAGCUAAUACCGCAUACCAUCAGAUGUGCCCAGAUGGGAUUAGCUAGUAGGUGGGGUAACGGCUCACCUAGGCGACGCGCCCUAGCUGGUCUGAGAGGAUGACCAGCCAACCUGGAAUGGAGACACGGUCCAGAGUCCUAGGGGAGGAAGAAGGGGGGAAUAUUGCACAAGGGGCGAAAUCCGGAUGCAGCAAUGCCGCGGGUGUGAAGAAGGCCUUCGGGUUGUAAAGCACUUUCAGCGGGGAGGCGUUACCCGCAGAAGAAGCACCGGCUAACUCCGUGCCAGCAGCCGCGUAAUAC